GGUGAUGUAGCUCAGAUGGUAGAGUGCUCACUUAGCUUACGAGAGAUUGUGGGAUCGAUACCCCAUUUCUUCA